GACGAACGCUGGCGGCGUGCCUAAUACAUGCCAGUAGGACGCAGUUGCGAACGGGUGAGUAAAGCGUAGGUAACUACCUAUUAGAGGGGGAUAACUAUUGGAAACGAUAGUUAAUACCGCAUACUAGUAGAUGGACCUGCAAUGUGUUAGCUUGUAGGUAGGGUAAUGGCCUACCUAGGCAACGAUACAUAGCCGAGCUGAGAGGGUGAUCAGCCGCGCUGGGACUGAGACAAGGCCCAGACUCCUACGGGAGGCGACAGUAGGGAAUCUUCGGCAAUGGGGGGAACCCUGACCAUGCAACGCCGCGGGAGUGAAGAAGGUUUUCGGUUCGUAAAGCUCUGUUGUUAAGGAAGCGGUACUUAACCAGAAAGGGACGGCUAACUACGUGCCAGCAGCCGCGGUAAUAC
rnacentral:rRNA from 1 species